GACGAACGCUGGCGGCGUGCUUAACACAUGCAAGUCGAACGGAAAGGCCCUGCUUGCCGGGUACUCGAGUGGCGAACGGGUGAGUAACACGUGGGAGAUCUGCCCUGCACUUCGGGAUAAGCCUGGGAAACUGGGUCUACUACCGGAUAGGAGCCAUCUUUGUAGUGAUGGUUGGAAAGUUUUUUCGGUGUAGGAUGAGCUCGCGGCCUAUCAGCUUGUUGGUGGGGUAAUGGCCUACCAAGGCGGCGACGGGUAGCCGGCCUGAGAGGGUGGACGGCCACAUUGGGACUGAGAGACGGCCCAGACUCCGACGGGAGGCAGCAGUGGGGAAUAUUGAGCAAUGGGCGCAAGCCUGAUGCAGCGAGGCUGCGGGGGGGAUGACGGCCUUCGGGUUGCAAACUCCCUUCGCCAGGGACGAAGCUUUUUGUGACGGUACCUAGACAAGAAGCACCGGCUAACUACGUG
rnacentral:rRNA from 1 species